GAUGAACGCUGGCGGCGUGCUUAACACAUGCAAGUCGAACGGAAAGGCUCCUGCUUGCAGGGGUACUCGAGUGGCGAACGGGUGAGUAACACGUGGGUGAUCUGCCCUGCACUUCGGGAUAAGCCUGGGAAACUGGGUCUAAUACCGGAUAGGACGAUGGUUUGGAUGCCAUUGUGGAAAGUUUUUCGGUGUGGGAUGAGCUCGCGGCCUAUCAGCUUGUUGGUGGGGUAAUGGCCUACCAAGGUGUCGACGGGUAGCCGGCCUGAGAGGGUGUACGGCCACAUUGGGACUGAGAUACGGCCCAGACUCCUACGGGAGGCAGCAGUGGGGAAUAUUGCACAAUGGGCGCAAGCCUGAUGCAGCGACGCCGCGUGGGGGAUGACGGCCUUCGGGUUGUAAACUCCUUUCGCUAGGGACGAAGCGCAAGUGACGGUACCUGGAGAAGAAGCACCGGCUAACUACGUG
rnacentral:rRNA from 1 species